AUUUGUAAUCUGGCUGUCUUCGAUAGUCCGAGUUGUAAUCUAUAGACGUGUUUUCCGUGCUGGACCGUAUCUAAGUCCCUUGGAACAGGGUAUCAAAGAGGGUGACAAUCCCGUGCUUGAUACGACCACCAGUGCUCUGUGAUACACGCUCUACGAGUCGAGUUGUUUGGGAAUGCAGCUCAAAAUGGGUGGUAAAUUCCAUCUAAAGCUAAAUAUUGGCGAGAGACCGAUAGCGAACAAGUACCGUGAGGGAAAGAUGAAAAGCACUUUGGAAAGAGAGUUAAACAGUACGUGAAAUUGUUGAAAGGGAAACGAUUGAAGUCAGUCGUGUUCUUUGGAUUCAGCUAGUUCUUCUAGUCUACUUCCUUUGAACGGGUCAACAUCAGUUUUGUCCGGUGGAUAAAGAUAGUAGGAAUGUAGCUCCCUCGGGAGUGUUAUAGACUAUUAUUGCAUGCACUGGGUGAGACUGAGGACUGCAGCUCGCCUUUUGGCCGGCCUUCGGGUACGUUCGAGCUUAGGAUGUUGACAUAAUGGCUUUAAACGACCCGUCUUGAAA
rnacentral:rRNA from 1 species